AUUGAACGCUGGCGGCAGGCCUAACACAUGCAAGUCGAACGAGUGGCGGACGGGUGAGUAAUGUCUGGGAAACUGCCUGAUGGAUGGGGAUAACUACUGGAAACUGUAGCUAAUACCGCAUACCUUCUGAUGUGCCCAGAUGGGAUUAGCUUGUUGGUGGGGUAUAGGCUUACCAAGGUGACGAUCCCUAGCUGGUCUGAGAGGAUGACCAGCAACACUGGAACUGAGACACGGUCCAGACGCCUACGGGAGGCAGCAGUGGGGAAUAUUGGACAAGGGGCGAAAGCCUGAUGCAGCCAUGCCGAGUGUAUGAAGAAGGCCUUCGGGUUGUAAAGUACUUUAAGCGGGGAGGCGUUACCCGCAGAAGAAGCACCGGCUAACUCCGUGCGAGCAGCCGCGGUAAUUC
rnacentral:rRNA from 1 species